GAUCCAUGCGUGGGUAGAGAGUUGCAGGGUGGAUACAUGGUUGGAAGCUGGGUUGAGGGUGAAUGUGUGUUGGACAGGGCUUGACGGGUGUUUCUAAAUCGGAUCUCCGCAGCUGACUGGCGGCCGAGCUGCCUAUGAGUCCUGGAACUGUGUAUCCUGCUUUCUUGAUCAGCUAACAGGAAUACGGGGCGGGGACGGCCUGGAAUAGGGCGGGAUCUUGCGUGGCCCCGGAUGCGGCCCCGCCUCCGCGGAACCGGAAGUGAGCGGGCACAGGGAGCGGCGGGGCGCGGCGGGAGCCUGGUGGACCCUGCUGGUGCGGUAAUCAUUGAUCAUCGCAGAUGCCCUCAUAUUCCACUUUGGAUUCCUUGGAUUCGGACAGACUCUGAACUGCUUUUCCCAGCAAAAGAGAAAGAUGUGGAAAGCCUCUGCAGGCCAUGCUGUGUCCAUCACGCAGGAUGAUGGAGGAGCUGAUGACUGGGAGACUGAUCCUGAUUUUGUGAAUGAUGUGAGUGAAAAGGAGCAGAGAUGGGGUGCUAAAACCGUGCAGGGAUCGGGGCACCAGGAACACAUCAACAUUCACAAGCUUCGAGAGAAUGUCUUCCAAGAACACCAGACGCUCAAGGAGAAGGAGCUGGAAACGGGACCCAAGGCUUCCCACGGCUAUGGCGGGAAGUUCGGUGUGGAGCAGGAUAGGAUGGACAGAUCAGCCGUGGGCCAUGAGUACCAGUCGAAGCUUUCCAAGCACUGCUCACAAGUGGACUCGGUCCGGGGCUUCGGAGGCAAGUUCGGUGUCCAGAUGGACAGGGUGGAUCAGUCUGCUGUAGGCUUUGAAUACCAGGGGAAGACUGAGAAGCAUGCCUCCCAGAAAGACUACUCUAGUGGCUUCGGUGGCAAAUACGGUGUGCAAGCUGACCGUGUAGACAAGAGUGCCGUGGGCUUUGACUACCAGGGCAAGACGGAGAAGCAUGAGUCUCAGAAAGAUUACUCCAAAGGUUUUGGUGGCAAAUAUGGGAUUGACAAGGACAAGGUGGAUAAAAGUGCUGUGGGCUUUGAGUAUCAAGGCAAGACAGAGAAGCACGAAUCCCAGAAAGACUAUGUAAAAGGCUUUGGAGGAAAGUUUGGUGUGCAGACAGACAGACAGGACAAGUGUGCCCUUGGCUGGGACCAUCAGGAGAAGCUGCAGCUGCAUGAAUCCCAAAAAGCAAGAGAACAAACCACGAUGGGGCCUCUAAUUAGUGCCCAGUAGAGCAGGCGCCCAGGAAGCAGAUGAGAAUAAGGCCCUGGCUGGUGCGAAGACUGUGCUAUAGAAGUGUGCACUGCAAAGGCCUGUCCUGUGUCCUCCCUCCUUGGCUUCCUUCCCGCUGGCCUGCCGCCCAUCCCCUCCCUGUCCCCAUUCCUGGAAGCAUGCCCACACCUCUCCUACUCCCUGCCUGCACUGGGCACUGUGGUUAGACAGCUGGCUCUGCCAGGAGAGCCUGUCCUCGGGCAGCUUUCACGUCCCUCCGCUCUGGUCUGUGUCCCCGGGCUGUUUGUGGAUCCAUGCGCAUGUGCCUGCCACUGCUCGCCCAUCCUCAGCCUCACGUAAGUCUCACCUUUACCACCUUUUAGACUAUGCCAAAGGAUUCGGCGGGAAGUAUGGGGUGCAGAAGGAUCGGAUGGACAAGAAUGCAUCCACCUUUGAAGAAGUGGUCCAGGUGCCAUCUGCCUAUCAGAAGACUGUCCCCAUUGAGGCCGUAACCAGCAAAACCAGUAAUAUCCGUGCUAACUUUGAAAACCUGGCAAAGGAGAGAGAGCAGGAGGACAGGCGGAAGGCAGAAGCCGAGAGAGCUCAGCGGAUGGCCAAAGAAAGACAGGAGCAGGAGGAGGCGCGCAGGAAGCUGGAAGAGCAAGCCAGAGCCAAGAAGCAGACGCCCCCUGCAUCCCCUAGUCCUCAACCAAUUGAAGACAGACCACCCUCCAGCCCCAUCUAUGAGGAUGCAGCUCCGUUCAAGGCCGAGCCGAGCUACCGAGGUAGCGAACCUGAGCCUGAGUACAGCAUCGAGGCCGCAGGCAUUCCUGAGGCUGGCAGCCAGCAAGGCCUGACCUAUACAUCAGAGCCCGUGUACGAGACUACAGAGGCUCCUGGCCACUAUCAAGCAGAGGAUGACACCUACGAUGGGUAUGAGAGUGACCUGGGCAUCACAGCCAUCGCCCUGUAUGACUACCAGGCUGCUGGCGAUGAUGAGAUCUCCUUUGACCCUGAUGACAUCAUCACCAACAUAGAAAUGAUUGACGAUGGCUGGUGGCGUGGGGUGUGCAAGGGCAGAUACGGGCUCUUCCCAGCCAACUAUGUGGAGCUGCGGCAGUAGGGCUGCCACCCAGAGCCUACCGGCACCAGCACAGGGUUCACACUACAGAGCAUCUGCGUGUGUUUGAGUUGGUUUCUGCUUCCGUUUCUGUUUUUGUUCUUUUUCUGAAGGUGGGGAGGGGAAUAUUCAUAUUGACUUUAUAUUUAAUACAUCUGCUGAUGCUUCGGGGCAUGUCCUGCCACAGGAUUUGCUAAUGUCUGAUGAUCAUGUUCACAGAGAACAUGGGUGAUUACUUGCAGCCAUCCCAGGUGUUUUAGUUUUGCCAAGCUGACUGUGGUAUGUAGCCACUUCAGGGGUUGCGCUUCUCACUAGGUUGGCGGUACAUGUGGCCUUGUGCCCACCCCCAUCCCCAUUGUAGUCAGGUUCCCAGGAUGGAGACAGUGCUCCUGGGGUGGCCACUCAGUGAGGAGGCUCUCUGGGGUCCAGUGUUUGGAAGAGGAGGAAAGGGGACCAAAGGGAAGUGAGGUCCUAGAGCGUUGACACUGAGGGAAGUCCUAUCUGUCAGUCCUGACCACUUAAGCCAGGACCCCAUGCUUCCUUUACUCUGUCUCCUCAUCUCUGUACCUCCCCUGACACCCCAGUCCUGGUUGGCCCUUUCUCCUGCCUUGCCCUGAAGUCUUACCUUCUCCCAUUGCAUUCAAGGCCUAUAGCACAAAGUGCAUCUCAGAGAUGUGCUAGUGGCUUAUCCUGGGCUUGGCCUGCAACAUGGGAGGCUUGGGACGGGGGUCUUGGACCUGCUCAUGACCCCUGAGCAGCCUGCAAUGAGGUGUGUGUGCCCAGCCACUUGGCUGGGCAGGGAGAUAGAUAGCUUCUUCCUGCAAGCUUCCAGAAGCACGCUGUGUUCUUUUUGCCAAAUAUGUUCAGUUAUAGUCAGCUGAUAGAUUGAUGUGGCUGAAAACAGGACCGAGUGAACUGAUGCUCCCACCUGGGUGCCUCCAUGGCUUCCUUGAGCAACUGUCCCUAAGAUGCUUUCAAGUGUAUGAGACAUGAGGAGGCUGGGCCACUCUGGUUAUGCACAGUCAGGCAAACUGUCCUUGUAGACGAGUCCCCGACUCUGGGAUACAUGAGGAUCAAUGCCCGUUUUCUCCCCGUGUGCUUUCCUGCAGAAUCCUUGCCUUUCCGUUGUUAGGUUGGGUUUUCUAUAUGAAUUAUCAUCUGGAAUUCUGUAGCACACCUCAUAGGUAUGGAAUUUUUUUAAAUUAAAUAUUCAGAAUAAACUUUUUUGAUCCAUUUA